rnacentral:misc_RNA from 1 species
AGAACACUCCACUAACACAACUAAGAAUCAAUCGCAGUAUUGCAUACUCAAGAGUGCUAAAUUACUUUGGAACUGAUGCAUGUGUGUUCACAUCCAUUUUGCUACUCUUGGCCAAACGAUUGCUAAUCUUCUGAUCCCUUAGUUACACCAAGAAUAAUUGCAACGGUGGCAAGAACAGCAGCAAUUGUGCAAGCAAUGUAUC